UACGGAGGGUGCAAGCGUUGCUCGGAAUUAUUGGGCGUAAAGGGUAGGUAGGUGGUCUCAUUUGUCUGGGGUGAAAGCCUUGAGCUUAACUCAAGAAGUGCCCCAGAAACGGUGAGACUGGAGUCCUGGAGAGGGUCGUGGAAUUCCCGGUGUAGCGGUGAAAUGCGUAGAGAUCGGGAGGAACACCAGAGGCGAAGGCGGCGACCUGGACAGGUACUGACACUCAACUACGAAAGCGUGGGGAGCAAACAGGAUUAGAUACCCUGGUAGUCCACGCUGUAAACGAUGGGUACUAGGUUUGGUGGGUCUUGACCCCUGCUGAACCGGCGCUAACGCAAUAAGUACCCCGCCUGGGAAGUACGGUCGCAAGACUAAA
rnacentral:rRNA from 1 species